GUAGGUGAACCUGCGGAAGGAUCAUUGAAAGUCGAAGACUAGUGGGAGGGGGGGAAGAAAACGGUAAGCCUGUAUUCUUUCCUGGAAGCGAGAACAAAACCACUGGUGACAUUGAUGUUGCUGUCCGUGCUGGCUGCUGGUAGCAAAAGCCAGCUGCUGGUGCUUCUCUUUUCCCUAUGUGGAUUUCCACUUUUGAUUUUUUGUCUGAUGAAGUGAGGGAUGCCUUGUGCUCCUGAUAAAGCUGUAGAUA
rnacentral:misc_RNA from 1 species